UACGUAGGGUGCAGGCGUUAAUCGGAAUUACUGGGCGUAAAGGGCGCGUAGGCGGUCAGCACAAGUCAGUUGUGAAAUCUCCGGGCUUAACUCGGAAAGGUCAACUGAUACUGUGCGACUAGAGUGCAGAAGGGGCAACUGGAAUUCUCGGUGUAGCGGUGAAAUGCGUAGAUAUCGAGAGGAACACCUGCGGCGAAGGCGGGUUGCUGGGCUGACACUGACGCUGAUGCGCGAAAGCCAGGGGAGCGAACGGG
rnacentral:rRNA from 1 species